rnacentral:lncRNA from 1 species
GCAUUAGGUUUUUACCUCACAUGCUUAAACAACUAAAAUCAAUUUAGCAUUUUGUAUGUGGUAGGCUCCAAUGCUCAAUUUGAAGCAAGUUAAAUUUAUUAGUGUAAUCCUGCUAUCCCUUAUGCUUAUGUUGAGCUCAAAUACUAAAUAAAAUGACUUUUAGAUUUAUGAAAUAAAAUUAGACAUUAAUUUGCUUAGUAUCACAUGUUAAGAAAAACUUAAGGUAUUAAAGUAUCU